UACGUCGAUCGAUUGUUCUUA
rnacentral:miRNA from 1 species